AGAGAAGAACUGGACCGGCCGCCAUGUUGGAGCCCUGGAGCUGCGGCGAGCCGAGGUUUCGAGGGGCUCGUGGAGCCGAAAGGUGGCAUGGUGUCAGACCCCUGCUCCCACCACUGAAUUUUCGUUCGGUCGUGAAUUGCAAAGGGCCUCAAAGAAAUCCUUUGCUAGAUAAUGUGAUCGCGAAGGGUUGUGGAGCUUGGCCCUGAAACUGACAAAGGAAGGAUCUACCAAAAGAAGUUCUGAAGUUCACUAUAGAAAGAUGCCAAAAGACCUACUGAGGGUCUCUGAAAAGUUAAAAAUGCUGAUAUGCGUAAUUUGAGUGUUUUAUUUUUCCCCUCCUGAGCUUUUCGAAGGAGAUGGCUAGCUCGGUGGUGAGGAUUCCCACAGCACAGUCAAGACCCUGGAUUGUAUCCCUAGCACUGGUCUGUUUGCAUCAGUGAAAAUAUAUACGGUGCCUCUGUUAGAAAUUAAUAAAGUUCCAGUAGGUCUUCCUUUCAAAAA
rnacentral:lncRNA from 1 species